ensembl:antisense 4930430E12Rik RIKEN cDNA 4930430E12 gene
UUUGUUCUAGAGCACACAUGCCUGAAAGCGCUAGUUAUAGCAACAGGAUUGUAAACAUUUUGUUAAACAAUUGACCACCUAAAACAUCUCCUAGCUGCCUUGGGGGUGAGCCCACCCAUUGGACGAGACACUGCAUGACGAGACACUGCGUGAGGAGACACUGAGCAGCGACAGCAGCAGGAGUGCCCGUUGAGAUGACCCAGCAGGAAGGUGAAGAUGUAUUAGCCCAUUUGAAACAAGAUUCCUGUGACAGAAAAUAAAAAGAAGCAAUCAAUAAUGUGCAAGGAUGAGUCUUCCACUAGCAGCCUUUGGAUGAAGACGUAGAACUCUCAGCUAUGCCUGCGCCAUGACAGCCUGGAUGCUGCCAUGCUCCCACCUUGAUCAUAAUGGACUGAACCUCUGAACCUGUAAGCCAGCCCCAAUUAAAUGUUGUUUUUUUAUAAGACUUGCCUUGGUCAUGGUUUCUGUUCACAGCAUAAAACACUAACUAAGACAAGGGCCAGUCUCUCUGAAAUAUACAGAAGGUAGUGAUUCCCUGCAUUGGUUCAUAGAACUUCUUAGGUUGCUUUGCCCAUGGCUCACUGACUUGUGUUUCACUGGUCUCAUGUGGAAGGGCAGGGUGUUGCCAACACUGAAAAAGAUCACAUUCUUGGAAUGUAGUGGCUAUGGCCUAGAAUUCAGGAGAAUUUGUACAAGACAUAUUUUUCUAAAUUUAUGUUACAAAAUUGUGAACAGUACAUUUAGCAUGACCAGAAAGGAAGUCAUUUUUUCUUCACCUUAAGAUUAAGAUUAUUUGCUGAGACUCAGUGAAGCAUAGCGGGAACCACUGGGAGCCAGGCAUGGAACAAUUCUGUGAUGUAACUGAUAUUGUGUUCAUGGUAAAUAGAGCCCAGUGGAUCAC